rnacentral:lncRNA from 1 species
CAGCCCUGUAGGAGACACCUCCAGAGAAAGUAACAGCUCUCAAUUGAUUAGCUGAGGAGACCGAUUUUGUAAAUCACUACUUUUCUAACAACACUGGCACAGAUGGCCAAGCAUUCUCCCUUUUCUCAGAGCUGGUUUUCCAUCCCGGAAAGAGCCAGAAUUAGCUUCUGUUACUUACAACUGUGAGUCCUGACUGAAAACAUAUUUCUUCCUUUGAAGAAUUGUUACCUGUAACAGGCUAAGAAGAAUAUUAAGAAUAAACAGAUGCUUUUACAGCUCGCAUUGGCGGGAAGUUCUGGCACAAAUGAAGUAUCUAUAAGGAGCAGCAGAGUCAAGGUGGUGAUCCUGUGGAUGAAUAACUGAAACCUGAUAUACUUGACAGCAGAAAAUAUAAAGCAAAUUGAAAAGGAGAGAGUGUGGAGAUAAAUAAGAAAAUGAAAGAACUGAUAAAGUCACUUGGAUUAAAAAA